UAGGGUUUUAGCACCUGCCGCCACAACCUCCCUUCUACUGCCGCCGCAACCUCCCUUCUACUGCCGCUGCAACCUCCCCAUCCUUCGAAUCCCAUCUGACCUAGCCCCGCAACCCGCCGGACGACGAGCAGCGAGGUCCGCGGCAGAGAUGGACCGGUACCUGAGGGUGGAGCGGUCGUGGAACGAGUCAACCAUUGAGGAUAACGAGAUCCGCAUCACCGCGCAGGGCCUCAUCUGCAACUAUGUCUCCUACGGUAGCUCCCUCCUCCAGACCUCUAUGCUGGGUUGAACAUAUGUCGUUGGACAAUGAAACUGGAUUAGACAAACCUGGAAUAAGGGCCAGGUCAGUCACAGGCCUUGUUGCAGCAGACUAUUUCGUCCCUGGAUAUUUUUUUGGGCUAUCUUAAUUGCCAAUUUAGCUCGUAUUGGAUAUGAAGAAAAGACCAUGUACAUGGCUGCAUAUGAUUGGAGGUUAUCUUUCCAGAACACUGAGGUUCGUGAUCAAACUUUGAGCAGAAUAAAGAGCAAUAUUGAACUCAUGGUAGCAACAAAUGGUGGAAAUGGGGUGGUCGUGAUCCCACACUCCAUGGGGGUCCUCUAUUUUCUGCAUUUUAUGAAAUGGGUCGAAGCACCUCCUCCCAUGGGGGGCGGUGGUGGUCCGAACUGGUGUGAGAACCAUAUUAAAGCUGUAAUGAAUAUUGGAGGACCUUUCUUAGGAGUUCCCAAGGCUGUUGCUGGGCUUUUCACAUCUGAAGCCAAAGAUGUUGCCGUUGCUAGGUAUAAGGUAAUUGAUUCAUUUAUUUAAAGCAAAAGGGAAUAGCAAAAGAAUGGAAUAUUAUUGGAUGCUCGACAAUCUUGGCGGAGCUUUUGUAAGUAAACAAUAUUUUCUAGUUUUGGUACCUACAAUCUUCUGUACUUCCCCAUUUGUCUGAUGCUUCAGGUUGGUUUUUUUUUCUGUCGGCUCCCAAGCCAUCUUCUGGACCUCACAAGUCCAGGGAGUGCCUGCCUCUGAUCCUCAUCAUUAGGAACAAGCUCAAGUAUGCACUGACGUACCGUGAGGUCAUUUCUAUCCUGAUGCAACGCCAUGUACUUGUUGAUGGCAAGGUCAGGACUGACAAGACCUACCCUGCUGGGUUUAUGGAUGUCAUUUCUAUCCCUAAGACAAACGAGAACUACAGGCUGCUUCCGUCUUCACCCAAUCAGGGAUGAGGAUGCCAAGGUUAGGCCAUUGUCUGAUGUUUGACGUCGGCAACGUGGUCAUGGUGACCGGCGGGAGGAACACCGGGCGUGUAGGAGUGAUCAAGAACAGGGAGAAGCAGAAGGGCAGCUUCGAGACCAUCCACGUGCUGGUUGGAGCUUUUUGCUAUGUCUAGUUUUAUCCUUUUUGUUGUACAGGAAAACAUAGAAUGAAAUUCAAAUUUGGUGGCCGCAAAAGUGUGGAGACUUGAUUUCAUAUAAAGUUAGGCUUAACAUUAGUGCAAACUGUUGUAUUUUAGUCUAGAUUUAGAGUACACUUAUGUAUGCGUUGUUUGACAAUGCUUAUUUAUGAUAUAUUGAAUGAUACUUAUUUUA